AACCUGCAUCAGGACACAGCACUGCAACAACCAAGCAUGCUGCAGUAAAACCUGCAUCAGGACACAGCACUGCAACAACCAAGCAUGAUACAGUAAAACCUGCAUCAGGAGACAGCACUGCAGUGGAGAUGUUAGUGUCACCCACAGAGAUGAGCAGACAGCGAUUCUCCUUGAGGGCACCGAGGAAUCCCAGAAAGGAUAUGCAGGUGACGAUGGUGCCCG